GGGUUAUUUUUGGAGUACCUCUGUUCGAAUGUCAGUUUUUUUGUUAGAAGGCUUUAAAGGUAUAGUGAAAAUUGGCAUGUAGAAAGCUGAUACAUGUACAAUUCAGGAUGUAUCCAGUUCUAUGAAGUUAAACUUAAUGUAAAAUAUUUAGAAAGCUGUGAAAAUUGCAAAAUUUGGUUGAACAGAUAGGGACUUUUAAUUGGUGGUAUGACACC
rnacentral:lncRNA from 1 species